AGUCGACCCCUAAGGCGAGGCCGAAAGGCGUAGUCGAUGGGAAACAGGUUAAUAUUCCUGUACUUGGUGUUACUGCGAAGGGGGGACGGAGAAGGCUAUGUUAGCCGGGCGACGGUUGUCCCGGUUUAAGCAUGUAGGCGGAGGUUCCAGGUAAAUCCGGUACCUUUUUAACGCUGAGGUGUGAUGACGAGGCACUACGGUGCUGAAGUAACAAAUGCCCUGCUUCCAGGAAAAGCCUCUAAGCAUCAGGUAACACGAAAUCGUACCCCAAACCGACACAGGUGGUCAGGUAGAGAAUACCAAGGCGCUUGAGAGAACUCGGGUGAAGGAACUAGGCAAAAUGGUGCCGUAACUUCGGGAGAAGGCACGCUGAUAUGUAGGUGAAGCCCCUGCGGGUGGAGCUGAAAUCAGUCGAAGAUACCAGCUGGCUGCAACUGUUUAUUAAAAACACAGCACUGUGCAAACACGAAAGUGGACGUAUACGGUGUGACGCCUGCCCGGUGCCGGAAG
rnacentral:rRNA from 1 species